UGCGUAGGCGGACUAAUAAGUCAGUGGUGAAAUCUCUCGGCUCAACCGAGAAACUGCCAUUGAAACUGAUAAGCUUGAGUGUAGUUGUAGUAGGCGGAAUAUAGCAUGUAGCGGUGAAAUGCUUAGAUAUGCUAUAGAACACCGAUCGCGAAGGCAGCUUACUAAACUAUCACUGACGCUCAUGCACGAAAGCGUGGGGAGCAAACAGGAUUAGAUACCCUGGUAGUCC
rnacentral:rRNA from 1 species